UAUGUCCAUAUUCAGCGUUGAUGGCAAAUUCAAAUACCAAGAUAUCAUCGAAUCAACAAACGAAUUCGAUCAAAGAUACCUCAUCGGAAGCGGAGGAUACAGCAAAGUCUACAAAGCAAACCUCCCAGAUGCGAUCGUAGCCGUGAAAAGGCUACAUGAUACAAUAGACGAAGAGAUAUCAAAGCCAGUGGUGAAGCAAGAGUUCCUAAACGAAGUAAGAGCGUUAACAGAGAUCCGUCACCGCAACGUGGUGAAGCUCUUCGGCUUCUGCUCCCACCGCCGCCACACGUUUCUGAUCUACGAGUACAUGGAAAAAGGAAGUUUAAACAAACUCUUAGCCAACGAAGAAGAAGCUAAGCGACUCACUUGGACCAAGAGGAUCAACAUCGUGAAAGGUGUGGCUCACGCGUUAUCGUAUAUGCACCAUGACCGAUCAACUCCGAUCGUCCACCGUGAUAUUAGCAGCGGCAACAUCCUUCUCGAUAAUGAUUACACAGCUAAGAUCUCUGAUUUUGGCACAGCGAAGCUUCUCAAGACGGAUUCAUCAAACUGGUCCGCCGUUGCUGGAACCUACGGCUACGUCGCUCCAGGUAAAUCUAAAUCAAUGAAAUUAAAAAAUCCCUAAAUUAAUUCGAAAUUGAAAUUGACUGUUUCUGAAAUUUUCGCAACAGAGUUUGCUUACACGAUGAAGGUGACGGAGAAAUGCGAUGUGUAUAGCUUCGGGGUUUUGAUACUCGAGGUUAUAAUGGGGAAGCAUCCGGGAGAUUUGGUUGCGAGUUUGUCUUCGUCUCCGGGAGAAACUCUGUCCCUGAGAAGCAUUUCCGAUGAACGUAUAUUAGAACCACGGGGGCAGAAUAGAGAGAAGCUCAUAAAGAUGGUGGAAGUGGCUUUAUCGUGUUUACAAGCAGAUCCGCAAUCUCGGCCAACGAUGUUAUCAAUCUCUACAGCUUUUUCUUAGAACUCAUCUUCAUCAAUUUCUUCGACGAGGUAAAGAAAAUAACAAACUUUUUUAUAUAUUAUAAAUGUGUUUAUCAAUGCAACCGUAGUUAAAAAUUAAAAUCGUUUUUUUGGAAAGAAGGGAAGAAGAAAGAGAAGUCGUAAGGUGAAAGAAGAAUAAAGAAGAAAAGAACUUUGCUCUACUUUCUCUGCUCUACUUUCUCUGCUCAUUGCAAUGUCACUUCACGCCGUUCGAGUACUAUCCUGUGUUCUCUCUCUAAACCUUCACUUAAUUUGGCUAAACCUGUGUCUGGAUUUCUUUCUCCUUCCACUGCGUCGACGUCUCGAACCGCAUUCACCGUCGCUCCUAAAUCUCAAGAACUUGACUGUUCUUUAUCUUCAUCAGAAUUAUAUAACUGGUGUCAUUCCCCCAGAACUAGGCAACAUGGAAUCCAUGAUUGAUUUAGAGUUAAGUCAGAACAAUCUUACUGGUUCAAUUCCUUCUUCUUUUGGUAACUUUACCAAGCUGGAAAGUUUGUACCUCCGUGAUAACCACCUCUCUGGUACGAUCCCGCGAGGAGUGGCAAACUCUUCAGAGCUAACUGAAUUGCUACUCGACAUAAACAAUUUCACCGGUUUCUUGCCUGAAAACAUUUGCAAAGGUGGCAAGCUUCAGAAUUUUUCAUUAGAUUAUAAUCACCUCGAAGGUCAUAUCCCGAAAAGCUUGAGAGAUUGCAAGAGCCUGAUCAGAGCAAAAUUUGUAGGGAACAAAUUCAUUGGAAAUAUUUCUGAAGCAUUUGGGGUUUACCCAGAUCUUGAUUUCAUUGAUCUCAGCCAUAAUAAAUUCAACGGUGAAAUUUCAAGCAACUGGCAGAAGAGUCCAAAGCUAGGUGCCUUGAUCAUGUCAAACAACAACAUCACAGGUGCUAUUCCACCAGAGAUUUGGAACAUGAAACAACUGGGCGAGCUAGAUCUGUCUACCAACAACCUCACUGGUGAGCUUCCAGAAGCAAUUGGAAAUCUCACGGGUUUGUCGAAGCUACUACUGAAUGGGAAUAAGUUAUCUGGAAGAGUUCCUACGGGUUUAAGUUUCUUAACCAAUCUUGAGUCUCUUGACUUAUCCUCAAACAGAUUCAGCUCCCAGAUCCCACAAACCUUCGACUCCUUUUUAAAGCUUCAUGAAAUGAACCUGAGCAAAAACAAUUUCGAUGGACGCAUUCCCGGACUAACAAAGCUGACUCAGUUAACGCAUCUUGAUCUCAGCCACAACCAGCUCGACGGAGAAAUCCCAUCACAGCUCAGCUCCUUGCAGAGCCUCGACAAGCUCAACCUCUCACACAACAAUCUCUCAGGUUUCAUUCCAACAACUUUCGAGAGCAUGAAAGCGCUGACGUUCAUCGAUAUAUCAAAUAAUAAACUCGAGGGUCCGCUUCCAGACAAUCCAGCGUUUCAAAACGCAACAUCAGAUGCAUUGGAGGGAAACAGAGGCUUAUGCAGUAAUAUUCCUAAACAAAGGUUGAAAUCAUGCCCUAUCACUUCUGGUGGGUUCCAAAAGCCGAAGAAGAACGGCAACCUUCUUGUGUGGAUACUAGUGCCAAUCCUAGGAGCACUCGUCAUUCUCUCUAUAUGUGCAGGCGCAUUUACCUACUACAUUCGGAAACGAAAACCACACAAUGGAAGAAACACAGAUUCUGAAACUGGAGAGAAUAUGUCCAUAUUCAGCGUUGAUGGCAAAUUCAAAUACCAAGAUAUCAUCGAAUCAACAAACGAAUUCGAUCAAAGAUACCUCAUCGGAAGCGGAGGAUACAGCAAAGUCUACAAAGCAAACCUCCCAGAUGCGAUCGUAGCCGUGAAAAGGCUACAUGAUACAAUAGACGAAGAGAUAUCAAAGCCAGUGGUGAAGCAAGAGUUCCUAAACGAAGUAAGAGCGUUAACAGAGAUCCGUCACCGCAACGUGGUGAAGCUCUUCGGCUUCUGCUCCCACCGCCGCCACACGUUUCUGAUCUACGAGUACAUGGAAAAAGGAAGUUUAAACAAACUCUUAGCCAACGAAGAAGAAGCUAAGCGACUCACUUGGACCAAGAGGAUCAACAUCGUGAAAGGUGUGGCUCACGCGUUAUCGUAUAUGCACCAUGACCGAUCAACUCCGAUCG
rnacentral:lncRNA from 1 species